AGAAGAAUGACAAGACAGACCUGUGUUUUCUAACAGCAGCUCUGGAGGAAGAGGACACGUAAAGAGGGAUCAAACUCAGGACCUUGCGCUUUCGAGGCAGGUGCCCGAACCACUGAGCUAAAUCCUUGGCCCAAGACCUCAUCAUUCUUGAUUGAGAAAGAAAACUAUACAACUAUAAAACACUAAAUGGAACUCUUAGAACACAGGCCUGGCUCUCUGCUGUUCGCUGAAGCUGCUCCCUAGUGUGAUGGGUCACACGUGGUUUCCUUCUCACAGGGACUUCUGCAACAUGGCUGCUUGUGACAUCAAGCCCACAGGGAGAGCCCCUGGCUCAGUUUGCUAAGACUGGACUAAAGGAUGCCCAGAAACUGGAUGAAGCAUUAUUUCUGGCUGUGUCCAUGAGGUGCUUCUGGAGGAGAAUGACACUGAAAAGUCAGACUGAGCAGAGAAGACCCGUCCUUACUCAGACAGGAGGUCAUUAUCCCAUCUACAGAGGGCCUGAACAGAACACAAAGGCCAAGCAAGGGGAGUCUGCUUCCAUUUCAGCUUGGCACCAUUUUCCCCUGCCCUGGGACACUGGUGUUCCUGGUUCUUGAGCCUUCAGACUCAGACCGGGACUAGCUUCAUUUGUCCCAGGUUUCCAGGACUCAGACUGAAUGAAACCACCAGUUUUCCUGGCGCUCUGUCAUGCUGUGGGCAGACCGUGGGACUUCUCAGCAUGUGUAAUCAUCAGUCAAUUCCCAUCCUAAAUCUCUUCAUUUAUCUCGGAUUGGGUCAGUUUCUCAGGAGAAUCUGAUUAAUAUAAUCUGUAA